AUACACUAGCUGUAUCAACUAACCUGUCUGUGAGAAGAUACUAAUCUCAAAUAGAUGGUGUAUAUCGCCGCCUACCUCUAUAACGCUGCCACUAUGCCUGUGUGCACAGGCGCAGUGUUGGAUCUGUCCAGAUACACCGGGCAUCCACAACUCGAACCUGACUCUUCAUGUCAUGGUUUCUGCUCCCCUUCGUGCAACAAUUUGUGACCUCUGAAUUUCCCACCAUGGGUGAAGGGGUUUCUUUUUUUUUUUUUUAAUAGGGCUAUCAUGGAUAUAUACUGUACCACACAUCUGAAUCGCCGCGGAAAGAUUAAUUAUAACAGAUCAUUUCAGGCACACAACUAUCUGAAGCAAUUAACUGCAAUGGGAGACGGAAGAGCCAAAAAAUAGAAUAUUUAUCUCUUCUGCAUCUGCUGUCUUUUUUGCCUUCACAAUGUGCAUUUUUUUUAAGACCCCUCUUGAGUUUUUUUUCCUGUUAUCUGCAAGCGAAGCAUAAAAGUAGAGAACGCUGCUACGUCACCAGAGGGUUUGCAUCCUUUAUAAGAGCACCACAUUGCAUGGAAAAAGAGGCUUUGAUAUCACAUUUACCCAAAGAAUUUGUCUCAGAGCAAGGCAGUGGAAGACAGGAAAACUUGGCGCCCAAAAGCUUGCUAAGAAGAAGUUUUCCAAUGAUUUGCAUUGGUCUAAUCAAAGAUAUUGCAUUUACCCAAAGGACCUCGUCUGUAUAUGCUCUCUUGAAACUGCACUCAAUCUUGAGGGAGCAAUGCAGCUGGCUUCACUACCACCUUGGACAACACGGAGGGGCCAUCCAUAAUCUGCCCUCUCCCAGUGGCUAGCAAUGGAGUAACCAAGAGCAGCAGCUGGCUGUAGAUGGCUCAAUAAAGAGCCAUCUCGUACCAUCAGGUGUCGGUUUAGCCGCGUUGGUCGAAGGACCCAAAGAACCUUGUCCAUCUUGUGCCAUCUGCGCUUUUCCCAGAGCCUGACGAAGGGACUUGGAUCCCGAAAGCUUGCAAGAAAAGGACACUUUUCUUGCCAUUUUCCAGUUGGUUUAACAGAAGGUAUCAUUUUGGAGCCAAGAGGUCUAGUUUUUUUGCAUGCCAAUAAAGGACGCUGUUGGGGAAGGCAGCAAGGGACCUGGAGAGCGAAGCCACAGCGUCCUCCUGAUCAUGUGCCACUAUAUAAAUGCUAACAAGAACAGCUUUUCAGAAACCAACAAGCCUCUCCAGUACUUUCUCACCCCUCCCCUGGCUUCACAGCUCUGCUCCCAGACUGGGCUGCGCUGGGAAAUACAAGGGAGGUACGUUUAAGAAAGAAAAAGCAGGAAGAAAGAAAAAUCGGGAAGACAGAAAUGCUUACAUGAUUUGAGAUAAAACGGCCAACAUUCAGCACAGAUUGCAGUCCCUUUGAAGCCAGCGAGACCACUCUUGUGAAUAUUCAUGUGGCAAGCCUGUCUGCAGUGGGAUGGUCCUAGAGAGCAGUGGAAGCACUGUUUUGGGAUUUACUUGGUCUGCCUUGCUAAGAUUGCUCCAAAACUAUAGCUGAGGGGAAACAAAAACGUUAGCUAUUUAAACGGAGGUGUUUUUGCUUGUUGUUAGAUUUCAGUGAAAACAUGGAAUAUUUUUUAUUUCUAUUAAAACCUCCCUGGGAACAUUG